ensembl:lncRNA
UAUAUCUAUGGUCGGCACGUCUGGUAGCAUCUCUGGCUGCUGUUGAACUUGUUUUUGGAGUAAAACGCGGUGGAAGCUGAAUUAGUGAGGAUGACUCCUGCUCCUGUCAUCUCUAAGCUCCUCACACAUCUUUACCUGCACAUGAGGAAAAUCACUCCUGUAGAAUGCAGAUGUUCAGAGGGAGAUGAUGCCACAUCUGGUCCAGCUGAUGGAAGGUCUUGAAGUUCUCUGACUGGCCUCGACUGAAGAUGGUCGUCUCACUGGAUUUAAGUUUUUCUGUUUCUUCUCUGGAGAUGCACAAUGAGGGACGUCUGCAGAGACUGAGAAAGAGUCUCACCACAUCCUGACAUGAGGAAAAAGACUUUAUUGAAGACUACAAUGAGAAAAACUAUCAGACAGCAGACGGCUGCAUUCAAGUCUGUAGCUGCUGAAUUCAUGGAUGAAUCAUCUGGCAUUAGAGAGGAAGACCAUCAAACAUCCACGUCAGCUGAUGGAGGUCCAAGAGUCUCACCGAACAAACAACCUACAGAGUGAAGACCUGGAAUCUGAUUGUACGGCCUCCUAUUCAUUGAACAAAUGCCUCUAAGUUGAUUUGUUUUCUAAAAUAAAUCUAGUUUGAGUCC